rnacentral:rRNA from 1 species
AUGAACGCUAGCUACAGGCUUAACACAUGCAAGUCGAGGGGAAACGGCAUCGAAAGCUUGCUUUUGAUGGGCGUCGACCGGCGCACGGGUGAGUAACGCGUAUCCAACCUGCCCAUCACUUGGGAAUAACCUUGCGAAAGUAAGACUAAUGCCCAAUGACAUCCCACGAAGGCAUCCGAAUGGGAUUAAAGAUUUAUCGGUGAUGGAUGGGGAUGCGUCUGAUUAGCUUGUUGGCGGGGUGACGGCCCACCAAGGCAACGAUCAGUAGGGGUUCUGAGAGGGAUGGUCCCCACAUUGGAACUGAGACACGGUCCAAACUCCUACGGGAGGCAGCAGUGAGGAAUAUUGGUCAAUGGGCGAGAGCCUGAACCAGCCAAGUAGCGUGCAGGAUGACGGCCCUAUGGGUUGUAAACUGCUUUUAUAAGGGAAUAAAGUGGGUCACGUGUGACUUUUUGCAUGUACCUUAUGAAUAAGGACCGGCUAAUUCCGUG